GGACAAGUCAAGCCGGAGUCAGAUCUCUGCAGUAACCUGGAUUUCCUUUCAACACAAUAGGAACGGUCUAUGUCGAGAAGAGAUCGCAUGAUUAUUCAAAAAGCUGUCCCUGGUGAAGAUGAAAAGGGCUAGAGGUGAUCUGUUGAUAUGGAUCGGCACAAUCGGCCACAUUCCCAGACUCUUCCAAGGCUAUGCCAGAGGGCCAGAAAUACUGAGCAACUGGACGUUUACCAACAGAAAGGAGGAAACCAUGAAAAUGAACAAAAUCUGGCGACCAGUAUUAAAAAAACCCCCAUCAGAAUCAAGACAGUAAAUAAGGAACAGGAGAACUCCAGACAGCUAACAAUCAAGUCCCAGUUAACACCUCCCAAACAGGGGUGACUCCAGGCAAUAAAGGCCAGGCUACCUUUAUGCAGGUACCCUCACUGAUUGACUUUGCAAACUUCAGGGCUACUCAGUGCUAUUCAAGCUUGUUAACUGCAAUAUGCACACUUUCUUUAAACAGACAUGGGUUUCCCCCAGGUAGGAAGCAAGCAACCAGGUUUUGAAGCUGCAAGGCUAUUCAAUGCUAAUCAAGGCAGCCAAUUGCAAUAUUCACACUUGCCUCCAACAGACAAGAGUUCUUUCUCCCAACCUGGACUUUCCACAGAUAUAUAAACCCCACUUGCCUAGUUUCCAAAAGACCUCACAACCUCUGAAGAUGCCUGACUUAGAUGUGGGUGAAACGUCAGGAGAGAAUGCUUCUGCAAUAUGGCCAUACAGCCUGGAAAACUCACAAUAAACCAGGCAAGGGUUUUUGUUCCCACCCUGGACAUUCCACAGGUAUGCACACAUUCCACUGGCCUCAUUUCCAAGAAAACCUCUGAAGAUGCCAUUAGUCACAGAUGCAGGCAAAACGUCAGGAUAGAAUGCUGCUGGAGCAUGUCUCUACAACCAAGCUUCGAAGCUGCAAGGCUAUUCAAUGCUAAUCAAGGUGGCCAAUUGCAAUAUUCACACUUGCCUCCAACAGACAAGAGUUCUUUCUCCCAACCUGGACUUUCCAGAUAUAUAAACCCCACUUGCCUAGUUUCCAACAGACCUCACAACCUCUGAAGAUGCCUGCCUUACAUGUGGGCGAAACGUCAGGAGAGAAUGCUUCUGCAAUAUGGCCAUACAGCCUGGAAAACUCACAAUAACCCAGGCAAGGGUCUUUUCUCCCACCCUGGACAUUCCACAGGUAUAUACACUGGCCUCAUUUCCAAGAAAACCUCUGAAGAUGCCAUUAGUCACAGAUGCAGGCAAAACGUCAGGAGAGAAUGCUGCUGGAAUAUGUCCCUACAGCCCGAAAAGAUCACAGCAAUCCAUAUUAGUUCAUAAAGUUUCCAUCUCCUUUUCUAAACACAAGCUCAGGGUGCAUAAAGUACACAAAAGAAUUGGAAUCCACCUGUGCAUUUUUUGCUAAAUUAAAUAAGUUAGAGCAAGAUCACAAUCAAUAAAGUAGCAUUUGAAAUCAUCACUCAAUUUUUUACUCUUUCAAAAUCAGGACAAAGUCCUGUCUUUUUAUCCUUUGUUCACUCUUAUGCUGGCAGGGCUGCUGACCCAAAGGUUUGCGGUUUGAUUUGUGGAUCAGGGUGAGCUCCCAUCCGUCAGCUCCAGCUUCCCGUGCGGGGACAUGCAAGAAGCCUCCCACAGGAUGGUAAAGCAUCCGUGCGUCCCCUGGGCAAUGUCCUUAUAGACGGCCAAUUCUCUCACACCAGAAGCGACUUGCAGUUUCUCAAGUCGCUCCUGACAUGGACAAAAAUAAUUUCUGGAAUCACAAUAGCAAUUCUAAGCAACUUUGCUAAAUAAGUAUAUGCAUUAAAAGAUUGCCUCUGUCAACAUGGAAAUGCAAAUUCUCUCUGUAUUUCACUAAUGUGUGGUUGGUCUAAGAGAAAGCAAUUUCUCAGGAUUAUGGGAUUCUGCGCAAAUGUCUGCCUCCAAACAUUCCUCCCACACGCUGCAUUUUCUCCUUUAUUUUGUGUUGCAUCACUUUUAUGUAAGUCACCUUGUGCCUUCUUUUUUCCCCAAUAAAAUGACAUGGUAUAAAUUUAGACAAAAUCAGAACAAGAACAAGGAGUGAUUGUUAACCUGGCUGGGGGUGAUUAUACGCCUGGAAGAGCUCGGAGAAGUUACAAUUCUUCAAAUCCUUGGCUAGCAAAAGUUCAACUGGUGGGAGUGAUUCUAAGAGUUACCGUGCAAAAGUAACUUUCACAAAAUGUGACCCUGGCCCCUUCUACACUGCCAUAUAAAAUCCAUAUUAUCUGCUUUGAACUGGAUUAUAUGGCAGUGAAGACUCAAAUAAUCCAGUUCAAAGCAGAUAAUUAUGAAUCUGGAUUAUUGUUGGAUUACUGAAUUAUGAUGUUCAAUGUUUUUAUAUAUUUAAUGUAUUCAUCUUGGAAUGUAAUUAUAUGCUAUGUAUCAUUGUGUUUUAGGGCUUGAUCCCCAUGUUAGCCACCCCAAGUCCCUUUGGGGAGAUGGGGCGGGGUAUAAGAAUAAAGUUAUUAUUAUUAUUAUUAUUA